rnacentral:lncRNA from 1 species
CAAACAACUGCAAUAGGCAAUCCUGUUGAUUAGAACUAAAAAUUCGAGACAGUCCAAUCAUAACAGCCCAAUACAGCCUAGUUUUAACAUAUAUAAUUAAACAUUAGAUGCUAGCGUGUAAAUUGACAUAAUCUAGAAUUAAAAUCCAUUACACAGUCCAGAUUUUCGGUCUAGUGAUACAAUCCUUAGCAUAAUUACAACAUUUUGCUAUUCAACGUUAAAUGAGCUAAACUAGGAAUUAACGCGUAGGAUAUGGCAGGGAAGAACAGGAGCAACAAACAGAGUAGCUAAAUAUGUUUUCUCCAUUUAAUUCGUCGACUCAGUUACAUAUUAUCAGGAGCUUAGGACUUGUACUUGAAUUCGAAUCAAAAUAGAAAAAAGGAGAAGUCAGGAGCAGUAGCAAUAUUCUACAAAUGUAAACCAACGUCAACACAUCAAUAGGAUCAAUUGAAAACCAAAAUGGCACCACUAUGACCUAGGGAUGAAUGACAGAUGAACAAUCAACCAAUCAAAUCACCCAAAACAGACUCGAUCAAACCUCAAGUUGACUUGAAAUCACAAUCAGGGCAACUUCUGAGUUUCAACAGCCAGAAACAACCCGAAAUAUCUUGAAUAAACCCAAAACAAACUUGAAAUUGAAUAUGGACACUAGGCACUCGAAUUACUGCAAAAACUUGCAAUUAAUCUAAGAAAAUUGAUGUAACAAUACCCAUUUUUGAGUUUUUUUUCUGUUGUUUUUGUUUUUUUGAAGAACUGGAUCUAUGAUUUCAACUUAGGAAGUCUUGUGGAAAUAUGGGGGAAUUUUCAGAUUGGAAAACUUGUGAGUGAAGGCAUUACUGAUUGCCUUUUAUUAGCAAAGCUAAAGAAUUUCAGAUUUUCAAACUUCACAUAUUAGUCCCUCUUUUAAAUUUUAGUUUUACUUAUUUGGUCCUUUAUUUUCUGACUUCUUUCUCAAGUUAUACCACUAAAAUUACUGAGAUUUAAACUAAAGCCAUAUUCUAGAAGGAUCUAGGGGUUCUAGCUUUAUCCACAAUAUUUCCUUUAAUUGGGAAUACCUAAAUUACCCUUUAUUCAAUCCAAAAUUAGUGAACUAAGCUAGCUAAAAUCCCAACCCCUUUUUAUCCUAGUUAAAAUUCAAGUAUAGUUAACCUAAAUAUUUCUAAUUCAGCUAUAACCAAUCAAUCUACUUAACCUAUCAAAUUAAUUAAACUAAGCAUUGAACCAAAGAAGUACUAAUUACUGAUUAACCUAAAUAAAAACAACAACAAGGGAAUACUAAAGAACAGAUUGAAGCCCAAACAAUAUCGAUUAGAGACUUAACAAAAUGGGAGAUUGAAUUGAUGUCUAAAUUUUAAAUGAAACAGAAUUAAACUAAAAAUAGAACAAUUACAAGAAUAGAACAAAUAUCGAAUCAAAAAUCAAAACAGAACAAAUUCUAAUCUUGAUAAAAUCAAACUAAUAUCAAACUAGAAUCAAGAAUCAAAAUGAACUAAAAUCUAAACAGACAAACAAUCAAGCACAAAUCAGAACAUAAAAUCAGAAUAAAAUUGACCAAAAUUAAAACUAGAAAUCAACAAUUAUGAGAACAGAAACAAAAGAAGAAAAUUAAACAAAGAAAAAGGAAAAGAAACAGAACUCACAGAUAUGGUCUUCUACUGGACUGACUUCAAAUCUGAUGAGUUUUCCUUGGCAUUUUUGGGUCAUAACCGUCCUUAAUCAUGUGUUUUCAUGAGAAAACACAUGAUUAAGGGUUAUUAAAACCCAAAAUCAAAGAAUCUCCAACAUUAAGGAAUUAGGAUUUUUCGGCCAAAAUUCGAUUUGAAAUUCGAAAUGCUCCAGUGAUAUUCGAAGAAAUUUGGUUGGGAAUUGGAGAUGAGGGAGGUUAGGGGAGUGUAGGGUGUGAAUUUGGUGAGGAUUGGACAAACUUGCAUUUUGGACCAAAUUUUCGAAUUAAUAGUUGACCAUUUCUAACGGAAUUUGAGGGAAGCUAAGGCUAGAUAUGGAAAGAGGAGGAGGAGGAUAGGAGCCUAUGGCGUAGAUUUGGGGUCGUUUGGAGGUGGUGCCGCCGUGGACGGUGGAGGUGGUGUUACCAUUUUUGAAGUUGGGCGGAGAUUCGAAGAAAAAUAGUAAGAGGUUUGUGAAGGGGACGUUGAGACAGUGUAACAGUGUAAUUUUGGGAGCUAUUGGCAAUCGGCCGCCGGCGGAGGCGAUUUCCGGCCAGUGGCGUUACAGACUUUGAGUUAGGGUGAUGAAGACGAUGACCUUGGGGGUAGGGGGUAGUGUUCUGACUAUUAUAUGUUAAGAUGUCCAAGCUUCUGAGCCGUUAGAUUCAAUUACCUCGACGGCUAGGAUUUAAUGACGAUAAAACGGUAUCGUUUUAUGGGGAAGGGGUUUGGAGCGGACU